rnacentral:lncRNA from 1 species
GAGACACAGCAACAUAGGUAAUUCAAAGCUACAUUACGAGGUAAAUUUAAAGGACUUUUAAGUCAAGACAUAUUUUGUUUUAUAUCUCAUCAUCCCAUAGGUCAUUGAGGCUUGGCUUGGUUGGUCCAGGGAUCAAACGGUUCUGCUUAAUUUGAUCAAUUUUUUGGUGAUCCUCCUUUGUCAAAGACCAAUCAAAGAUUUGAAGGUUUUGGUUCAUUCUGUUCUUAUCAUAGCUCUUAGGAACAAAAGUGAUUCCUUGUUCAUAUAACCAUCUAAGAGAGAUUUGUGCAAUAGAUUUUCCAUGAGCAUCAGCAAUCUCUUUAAGCAUAUCAUUUUCCAUAACCUCAUUUGCUCCUCUGCUUGCACCUUUCCUCAAUGGUGAAUAUGCAGUUAACACUAUUCCAUUUUCAUUGCAAUACUCUCUAAGCUUCUUUUGUUGCCAUGCAAGAUUCAUCUCCACCUAUACAUAAAACAUGUUGUACAAGUUAGUAACAUUUUAUACAUAAAACAUUUUGUAUCUAAAGUUUAGUUUGAUUGAUGACUUACUUGAUUGACGGCGGGAAGAACAGUGGCAACAGAGAGGAGAUUUUGAAGUUUCUUGACAGAGAAGUUACUAACUCCAAUAGCUUUGGUGAGUCCAAGUUUCAAACAUUCUUCCAUUGAUUCCCACACACCUUUCACAUCAAAUGGUAAGAGAUCUGCCACAUCUAUUGGAAAUGAAAACUUUCCAGGCUGAGAACUUAGUGGCCAAUGAAUCAAAUACAAAUCCAAGUAUUCCAAUUGAAGAGUCCUGCACAAAUUAAGCAUCUCAAUAACUAUUUCAAUUCAAUUUUAACAUAUGAUAUUGAUAUGAAUUAGAAUAUGCUUACUUGAGAGAUUUUUGAAGAGCAGGAACAACAAGAUGAGGAUGAUUUUGAGUGAUCCAAAGUUUAGAAGUAACAAAAAGGUCUUCUCUAGUGACAAGACCAAGUUGACAUGCUUGUUUCAAAGCUUCUCCAAGAGCUUGUUCAGAGCCAUAUGCAGCAGCAGUAUCAAAGUGUCUAUAACCUUGUUUGAUUGCUUCUAUGAUUGCUUCUUUUGUGUCUUUCUUACAUGUGAAAUCAGGUGCUGAUCCCAUUCCUAUAACUGGCAUCUUCACUUGUUCUUUUGUGUUGACAAGAACCUUUGUUGGGAUUUCAAUAGCACUACCCAUGUUUUUGUUUUUGACGUUGUUGGAUUGGGAAAUUUUCAAUUUAAGAUUCUGUUAUUCUUUGUGUUGUGACUGAUGAUGGACUUAACUUAAUCUGCUGUAACCUUUUUAUAGCUAGAAAAAUUGAUACCUACUCACAAUAUUUAUCGUACUUGAUUAUUUGAUACAAAUUAAUAAAAAAGAAAAAUUAUUAAUUUAUUUUUAUUAUUUAUUGUUGUAUUUUUAUUAUAACAAAUAUAAAAUAAAAAAUAAUUUUUUAAAGUAAUAUAAAUUAUAUUAAUUGAAGAAUAUAAUUAAAAAAUAAUUACAUUGAAAAGAAAAAUAUUAAUUUUUUAAAAUAAAUAUUUUUUUUUUUUAUAAAUAUGAGAAUUAUCGAGUAAGAAUAAAAAUACAUUAUUUAUACUUUUUGAUUGGCACUCCAAUUAAGAAAUUUGUAUGGCGGCUUAAUAGAAAGGUUGGUGGUGAGUUGAUGAUGGUGGCUUACUCUAAUGAUGUCUAUAUAGUAAUAUAUCUUUGAAAAUUCCACCAAAGAAAAAAUAUAGAUUUUUUUCAUUCUUUGUUUUGUUUUGUUUAUUCAAAGAUUAGUCUCAAAUGUUGGAUCCUUAUUCCCAGAACCCGGACUUUAUCAUUCUAUCACUAUCUCUGUGGUUUUAAUUAUUGAGGGAACAAAGACAAUAAUAUAUAUAUAUAUAUAAAUUAUUAUAAUUUAGUUAUUAGAAAAUUCAGGUGAAUGUAAUUAAUUUUAAAUACAAUAUAAGUUAAAUUUAGUAAAUUAAAUUUUUUGAUGUAUUUUAAUUGCUUAUGACAAUGACAUAGAUAACUAACAAUCUAACAUCUCCUUUUCUAUAGGAAUAUUAUUAUGUGUUAAAUUAUUUUAUUCAACCAGUCAAGGUUGUGGUACUGCAUGCAGCAGGGUGAAGGUGACGAGCAUAAUUAUUUUAUACUUAGUUUAAGUUUUAUUAUUGAUGUCACAUCUUCUUUAUAAAAAAACUACCACCACAAUUGUUUUUCUUCUUCUUUCUUUUUGUCUAAAGUCAUUUGAUUUUUUAUUUAAUUUUUUUGUUAUAUGAUUUUGUCGGUUUAAUGUAAUUUAUUUUGUAUAUCAGUUAGUGUGACGUUGUUUUGAUUUUAUUGUUAUAAUUUUUUAUUUUAUUAGAGUAUUUAUUUUAUUCAGAUUAAAAUAUCAAUUCCGAUCAAGUACAAUUUCAAUUAAUAAUUUUGAUGUUUUUAACUUUAAAGUUUCAAAAAUAUGAAUAUUUUGAAUAGCUUCAUUUUAUCAUACUUAUAGAUUUUAUCAUAUUUAUUUAGAUAUUUUAUUAUAUUAUAUUAUAUAUUAACUUAAACGUGAGUUUUUUCAUAUAUUCAUCUUUUGUAGUUAUAAUGACUUUAAAUUGUAUUUUUCUUAAUUAAUCAAUGUGAUUUUCAUAAAUUUAAAUGAAUAAAUGUUAUUUUUAAUAAAAAAUCAUUAAUGUCACAUUUUGAUCACUAAGAAUAUUGCAAAAAUCAAUUCGAUCUUUGUAAAAAAUAAAUUGAGAAAAUAUCAUUCUUAUUUGAAGUAUCAUCAUAAAUAAAUAAUUAACUCUAUGAUAAUCAUAAUUAAAAAUUUAUAACUAGGUUUUUUUUAGCAAUUCCAGCAAGCAAAUCAAAUACAUGGUAUAGUUUACAUCCUCCUCAAGUCAAACGUCUUUUACCAAACUCUAAAACUUUUUUCUAAAUCUCGUGCUUAACUAAAAAAACUAGACUACAUCCAUCAAAAAAUAAGUUUAAAUUUAUUAAAUCGGAAAAAUGAUUAAUAUUAAAAAAUUUGACAAACUUUGUUAAGUAAUUUAUUCAAUUAAUUAUCUCUUUUUCAAUAAAUAAAUCUAAAUGGACCGUACAUCAUUCAAUUCAUCAAGAAACAAAGUUAUUUGACAAUUAUAGUAACUCGUCUAAGAAGAAUGAGGUUAGGCAUCUAUGGAAGAUCAUCUCAACAUGAAAAUAUAUAAGACAAAAUUUAAUUUAUGAGAACAACUGAAUAAAUUAAAAUAAUACAUACAAGUAAAAAUAUAUUAGUCUGACAAAAUCUUCUGAUCUAAUCUACGUAAGGAUUAAGUCGAUUUUUUAUUUAUGACAUUUUUAAUAAAUUUCUUAUUUAACUAAAAAAUCAGACCACAUUCCAUAAAAAAAAUCAUUUUAAACCUAUCGAAUCAAUCAAUUGAUGUAAAUAUAAUUAAUAUUAAAAAUGCACCAAAAUCAAACAAAAGACAUAUUAUAUAAGUGAUGAGUUGUUUGGAUAUACACUAGACGUCUAACAACAACAAGUCGGCAUAAAUAUAUGUUUCAUCCUUUAGAGAUAGUCGCAAAAUAAAAAUUGAUAUAUUUGCGAGCAUUAAAAACAAAAAGUAUUUUAAAAAAAACAAAAAAGUAUUAUUAAGGAAUUAAAAGUAAAAAAAACUGAUAUAUUUACAAAAAUAAAAAAAUACUUACAGAAAAAAAAAAUCAUAUUUCUAUCUCACAUAUUUCAUUUUUGGUCAAUAAUAUGUAGUAUAAUCUUUAUAUGAAAAAAAUAUGUAACAUAGUCUUGGUGAUUGACUAUUAUUUUUUACUAAUAUUUUUGAGUGUUACUUGGAAGACUAUAAAGUAUUCAUUAAAUAGGAUAAUGAAAGAUUUUACUGUAUUAGAUGUCCUUAAUUUUAUUAUCCUACUUUGUGGAAAGAUUUUCACAUUAAAAUUGUGUGUCUAAUAUUUAUUUUUCUGUUAAUUGUUAUUUUUAUGUGAAAUUGUAUUUUUUAUUUAGCAAUUUAUAUACACAUGUAAGAGAAAAGUAUUUUAUAUUAUUGAGAUAAGUAUCUUUACUUUUUCCAACAAAGUGGUAUUCAAAUUUGAUUUGUGCAUUUAAAUAGAGGAGAAAAAUUAAAGUCUGAAUAUGAUUAAACUCAACUCUACUAAUUAUACACUUUGAAAGACUCUCGUGGAAGAUAUGUUAUGCAACAUAGAUUUAUAUGAUCCUAUUGAUCGGGAGAAUAGAAAACUAGUGGCAUUUAUGAGACGUUAGUUAGACCUUAGUGAAUAUCCACAUGUAGAAACCGAAACUAAUGCUAAGAAGAUAUGGGAUAAAUUAAAAGAGUUGUACGAGCGGAAAAAUGUGUAAAAUAAAACACUCUUGAAUUAGAAGCUGGUGAAUAUGAAAUACAAAUAUGGGAAUUCACUAAAAGAGCAUGUGAAUAUUUUUCAGAAUACAGUGAAUCAAUUGACAACUGCAUAUAUUAAAAUGGAUGAUGAGUUGCAAGGAUUGUUACUCUUGAGUUCCUAGCUUGACAAUUGGGAAGUUCUAGUUGUGAUAUUGAUCAAUUCAGCUCUUAUUGAUGUUUGCAUGAUGGGUAAUAAAUCUCUUGGUGGUGCAAUAUAUUUUAUUAUUUUUAUUGAAGAUCACUCUAGAAAAUUGUGGGCUUUUUUCUUUGAAAUCUAAAGACCAUAUGUUUGGAGUCUUCAAGCACGUUCAUGCAAGUGUUGAAUGAGAACAUGGAAGAAAUUGAAAUAUGCUCAACCAGAUAACGAUGGUGAAUAUAUAGGUCUAUUUGAAGAGUAUUGUAAAGAAUAUGAAAUCAACCUUGAGAAGAUAGUUUCAAAGAAAACUCGACAUAAUGGUGUUUUAGAGAGAUUGAAUCGUACGAUUAAUGGCAAAGUCACGUGUAUGUUCUCUCAUGCAAAAUUAUCGAAAUCCUUUUGGGUUUAGGGUUUAGGGUUUAGGGUUUAGGAUAAGGACAAAUAGUUGAAGGCCAUGCAAGAAGAUAUGAAUUCAUUACAGGAGAAUCACACAUUUUAGUUGGUGAAAUUGUCUAAGGGCAAAAAAAUACUCAAUAACAAAUGGGUAUACAAGAUUAAGGCAUAAGAGAAUAGCUCUCAACCAAGAUAUAAAGUAAGAUUGGUUGUGAGAUGAUUUAAUCAGAGAAAAAAAUAUUGACUUUGAAGAAAUUUUCUCACCAGUGGUGAAGAUGUCUUCUAUCCGAGUUGUGUUUGGAUUAGUAGCUAAUUUGAACUUUGAAGUUGAACAACAUGAUGUGAAAAUAAAUUUUCUUCAUGGUGAUUUAGAGGAAAAGAUCGAUAUGGAGUAACAAGAAGGUUUCGAAGUCAAAGAUAAAGAACAACUUAUUAAUAAAUUGAAGAAAAAUUUGUAUUAAAUCAAACAAACAUCGUGACAAUGUUACAAGAAAUUUAGAUAAAUGCAUCAACAUAUAUCAACUCAAAUAUUUUUUAUUUAUUUAUUUAUUUAUAAAAAGAAACAAAUUUAGUAUUAAUAUUAUAAUUUGAUAUAUGUUGGGGGUCUGGAGUACUAUGUUUAAGGUUUGAGUAGAAAUGUAAUUUUUUUUUUUUUAUCUAAAAUUUAUUUCCUUAAUAUAAAGGUGGAUUUUUAUUUUGUUUAAUAUGUUUUUAAUUCUUACAAAAUUACAACAUUUUAACUUUAGUCCUUGAAAAAUGUCUCUUAAUUGGUAAUGGCUCCAUUUUUAUUUUUAUUUUUGUUAUAAUAUAAUGGUGAUUUCUUUUGGGUUGUAUAUAUAUAUAUAUAUAUAAUCUCUAUAAAAUUACAAUAUUUUAACUUCAAUCUCUAAAAAAAAUUUAUUCUCUUUAAAUCUCUGUUUUGAUUUUAGAUAUUUUUUUAUAGGCUAAAAUUAUCAUUUUUUUAUAAAAACAAUUUUUAAAAUAGCAACUAAAAGUGAAUAAAAAAAAUUUAAAAACUAAAAAAUUGAAAUUUUUUAAAGAUCAAAGUUAAAAUUUAAAAUUUUAUAGAGUUUAAAACUUAAUUUACUCAUUUUUUAAUUAUUAAAAUUGUAUUUUUUCUAUUAAAACACAAUUUUUAAGAAUAGAACAAAUUUUUUGUUAAAUGUUUGAGACGGCAGUGAGUAGUAGCACCAUUAUUAUAUCCAUCACUUGAUUUAGGGACUUAUAAGUUUACAUAUAUAUAAGUAGAACAAUUUAUUAGUAUGGUCUAGCUACACGUUCGUCUACUUGUAAUAUGCUCCAUUGUUUGGUCUUGUCUAUGGAUCAACAUUUUCUUUGAUAUUUUUUGUCUCAUAAUAAAUAUUAUUUUAAUAAAAAAAUUGUUUUUAAAUGAAUGACAUUAUUAUUUUUUAAUUGAAAUUUCAUUUUUUUAUUGUUCAUUUCAAUUUUAUUAAUUAUGUAUAGGACUUUCAAAGCUUUAAUUCUAUUUUAUAAAUAUAAUAAUAAAAAAUACACUUAUAUAUUUAAGAAGUAUAAUUUGAUAAAAUUAUUUAUUUUUUCUUUUUUUAUACAUUUUAUAAUAUUCAUAAAAUAAAAAAUAAAAUAUUAGUUUAAGAAUAUUUGCAACCAUGGUUGUCCAUGCUUGACAUAAAAUGAAUACAUGCACAUGGUGUUGUCUAUUAUUUUGGACUAUUUAUCUUGUGAUUUUAAGACAUUUUCUAGUCUAGUCAUGAUGUCUACUUUUUUGACAAGUGAUAGUGGUUAAUAGUAAAAUAAAGACAAUCCACUCAUAAUGUGAAAUACUUUAUAAUAAAAUGAGGACAAUUGUAGGGUACUAAAGUAGAUUGAGUUUAAGAUCUUAUUUACUUUACACUAUCUCCUCUGCACUCAUGAUGUGCAAGACUAUUUGAAGUCAAUUCAAUAAUUUCAAUUCACUUAUUAACAUUUAGGUGGCGGCAACGAAAACAUGUUAAUAGAUGGAGAUAAAUCAAUUGAGUCAAAAAAAAAAAAAUAGAAAUUGAAAAAAUUAAAUUAAAUUGACUCAAUAAAUGAACCUUCUCACCUUGGUCGCUAUGUUCUUUUCUUCAGAAUUUAUUCGCAUGAUUUUAAUAUUCAAACUGCGACAUGAAAGUCCAUUUUCGACGGCUUAAUUUGAAUCAUGUAUUCAGGUAACAAAAUAUGUACGCAAUGGGUUGAAAGAAUAGCCUCACGCUCCCAAGCUAGUAAGUUCAAAGUAAAAAUUACAUUUACACUCCAAGCUAUAGAUUUCAACUAUAAUUUAAAAUUAUUUAAACGGAUUAAUUAAUUUUACUCGAUAACAUUUAAAUAUGUCAAAAAUAAUUUUACAUAUUUAAAUCAAGUCUUUUCUCUCUAAAAAUGGAAUCAAACAUUAUAUCUAUAGAAGAGAAUUUCGAUUUUAGACAAUCUGAUUGUGCAAUUCACAAUAUUAUUCAAUUAAGAUUAAACAGUCUACAUUUUAAUACAUAUUUUGUUCAACUCACCUUUACUUUAAUAUAUCUAUUAUGGGUGGACUUCAUAUCAACAUAGUCUAGGCCCAACAGGAAGACAUGUAAUUUCAUAUUAAUCCGACCCAAUCAAAUAGCGUCAUAAAACCUUCCAUAAACUAGGACAAGUCACUUCAAAUGCAUAAUUUGAAGUGAUAGUCUAUCGUAACUCACUUUGACCUCCAAUCAUGACCACUAGAUGAAUAAGGAGAGAAUCAUGUGAUGACGAACACGUAAGAUAGCUCACAUGUGAAUCCCUUUUGAGUCAUUUGAUGACAAUAAUACUAUGAUCACAACCACUAGAUGGUCUACAGCUUCCUCUAAUUACAAGGACACAAAUCCAACAUCAUAAGGUGAUUCGAAGAUCAUGGAUUUCUCUUUGAUGAUCAUAAUAGGAAUCUUCUAGAAAUCUUGAAGAGUCACUAUAUGUAUAAACAGGACCUCUUAAGUCAUAAAUGUACACACAAAAUUUAACCUGAAAAGAAAACCUCUUUAACAAAUACUUACUUGAUCGUCGGAAUGUGUACAAAUACAUCUUCGGUGUGUCGGUGACAGAAAGGAUCAAAAACCUCCUCCAACUGUCGUACACCACUGUUUCCAUAGUCAAGUUCCUAUAUUCAGUAUCUCCAGUAUUAAAUAAUAUUUAAAUAUAAAUUAUUUUAUAUUCAAUUCACUUAUAAUUAAAAUCAUUUUGACAAAAUCAAUUUUAAUCCUCGCACGACUAAAUACAUGCUUACAUUUAUUAUCUUUCUUUGAUAUUUAUCUUUUUUUAUGUUUACUAUGUCAUUGUUCAUAAUUUUUGUUUCUUCAAACGUUUAUUAAGUUCUCACUUACUCACUCAACCCAACCUAUCAUCUUCUUUUUGACCAUUCUCUUGGUAGUACUAAGAAGUAUAAAACAUUUGGAAAACAACCAAGAAAUAGAGAAAAAAUAAAAUGGAGAUAGGAGGAUAAAAACUAUGAUUAUUUGUUGUUGCCAUUUAUCCACCAGUUUAGGCCAUAGGCCAUAGCCAUGACCUAACCACCUUCAUCAUCCUCAAUAUUGACAGAGUAGUUGGGUUCAAGCCCGUUUGCUCAUGCCAUACUUUAGUUUUUUCUAUACAAGCUCCUCUCAUUGUUUUUUUUUUUUUUUCAUUUUUUUUUCUGUAUUGAAUAUAUUUGGUUAAGUACUUUGUAUAUUUUGCAGUUGGCAUGAUCUUUUAGAAGGAUAAAAUUUAGUUACAAAACUUCAAUUUUUAUUUCUUUUAAACCUCACAUUCCAAUGAAAGUCACACAAAAAAGGAUAGUCCGACAGUCAAUAAAUUGUCGGCAUAUUAUUAUUACUAUAAACUUCAAAAAAAAAUUAUUUUACGUAAAAAAAAAAUAUUAUGCAUAUGCUUAUAUACUCAAAUGACAUCAUAAGAGAGAAAAAGAAACAAAAAAGGAUAUAAUAGAUUUAACAUAUUAGAAAUUGAUAAUGGAAGAAAAAAAAGAAAAAAUAAUUAAAUAGAAGUCGAAAAUUAAGAAUCAGUAUUUGAAUAAAUAAUUGUUAUCAACAUGUGGUUAAAUGGUUUGUCAUUUGUGAGACAUAGAUAGAGAGAUAGUACUCGUUCCACAUGGAAAUUUUGGCAGCAUGUCGAGUGUUAGGAACUUCUCAAUUAUUACAAUUACAAUUACAAUUACAAUUUUCUUUUAUUUAUUACAGUUUUUUUUUUUUUUUUUGUAUUAACACCUAUUUUUAGAACAUAUAAUAUAAAUUGAACAUUUAUUAAUUUUAUACAUAAAAAUUAUAGUAAUAUUUUUCUCUAUUUCUUUUAAAAAAUGGAAAAAAUCUCAACUCAACAUGUAGAGGUACACUACACUAUAAAUAAAUAAUCUCCAAUAGUUAAGUCGGAGAACACAAGAUAAUGCAUUGAGUAGUUCACUAUUUAACAUUGGUACAUGUAUACUCUAUAUCGACACUAUAUAUAUUUUUCUUUUUAUCACAUUAAUAUGAUCUAUCACAUUUUUUUGCAUUAUUUUUUCUUUCUUUUCAAAGUAGACAGCAUAAACUUUGAGUAGUUGAGGUACUAUAUUUUUUUUUUAACUGUUGUAUAUUAUUUUAUAGUCUUUGAAUUUACUGAUUAAAGAAAAAUGAAGAUUAAGUUAAUUAAUUAAAAACACAUUUAAACAUUAAAAUGACUAGACAUCUAAAUUUAUUUUUGUAAUUUUAAUACAUUUAAAAAAUAUUAUAUUGACAUUCAUAUAUUUAUUUUUAUAAAAAUUUAAAUAUAGUAGAAACACAAUCUAUAACAUAGAUUUUUUAAAUCACAUAAUUUAUUUUUUAAUGUGUUAAAUAUAAAAAAUAUUUAUUUUUCAAAAUUUAGUGAAGAUCAUCGUCCACACUCUUUUCUAAAUGGGUCCGUCCCCUAUGAAUCAAACAUUUUUCUUCAAUAUUUCUAAAUUAAUAUGCAUGCACAUUCUAAAUCUACUACUUUGUUGGGGCACACAUACCUUAAUAUAUACUAGUAUUUUAUUUAUUUUUUUAUAACCUUUUUGACGAGAUAUAUUUUUACUUGUUUGGCACAUGUACCUUUAUUGAAUUUGUUUACUCAAGUCAAUCCAAAUGUCAUGCUUGUGUGAAAAAAAUCUAAAUGUGGAAGAGGUUAUCUACCUCAAAUAAAAGUAUUGAUGGAACCCGUUACCAAAUCAAUUAUUUAAACUCAAAAUAAAAACAAGAAAAAUAUUAUUUAACCCGUUACGUCUCUAUUUUAUAUCCACAUUGAGUUUUUUAUUUAUUAAUUCUCUGGUCAAGUAUUUAGAUGUUAGGUUUAAAAAAUUCAUCAAAAUAUUUCAAAACUCAAAAAACUAAUAUUGAUAGAAAUACAUAUACAUCAACUAUCAAAUAGAUAUUCAAAAACAUAAAUUAAAUCUACGACCAAUAUAGAGGUGAGGGUGAGGAUAUUCUUUUUUAUUUUCUACUACGAUAGUGAUUUGUGCAUAUGAAAGUGAAAUAAAUGAUGUUUCUUGCAUGUAUACCCACACGUUUACAUUUCCAAUUUUAGAAAGCAACAAAUUUGAUUCCAUUGAAUUUAACACAGAAUAUAUUGUUAAGAGGAAUGUACAGAUGUUUCUUAAUAAAAAAUAAUAUAAUAAAAAAAUUGCCGACUAGUUUUUUUAAUAUUGUCAGAUAGAUAUCAUAUAGUAUUAUUCCUUCAUGGAACAUUUGGCACACUAUAAAUAGUUAGUAUCCGACAAUGUGGACCCACCGGUGUUUUACUAUUUUUAGGGGGUGUAUGUAGUAUCCAAACAUUUUCCAUUUCCAAAUCACAUAUCAUAUGGUUUCUUACUCAUUUUCUACAAUCAAGUCAAUGCAAAUGUCAUGUAAUUCAAACAUAAUCGAUUAUUUAAACUUGAUACUGGCACACAUGUAAUUCAAACAUCAAUUAGAGACAACAAUUGAAGAUUAAUUUAAAGGACUUUUAAGUUAAGACAUAUUUUGUAAUGUUUUAUAUCUCAUCAUCCCAAAGGUCAUUGAGGCUUGGCUUGGUUGGUCCAGGGAUCAAACGGUUCUGCUUAAUUUGAUCAAUUUUUUGAUGAUCUUCUUUUGUCAAAGACCAAUCAAAGAUUUGAAGGUUUUGGUUCAUUCUGUCCUUAUCAUAGCUCUUAGGAACAAAAGUGAUUCCUUGUUCAUAUAACCAUCUAAGAGAGAUUUGUGCAAUAGAUUUUCCAUGAGCAUCAGCAAUCUCUUUAAGCAUAUCAUUUUCCAUAACCUCAUUUGCUCCUCUGCUUGCACCUUUCCUCAAUGGUGAAUAUGCAGUUAACACUAUUCCAUUUUCAUUGCAAUACUCUC